rnacentral:rRNA from 1 species
GACGAACGCUGGCGGCGUGCCUAAUACAUGCAAGUCGAACGAGAGCGACCGGUGCUUGCACUGGUCAAUCUAGUGGCGAACGGGUGAGUAACACGUGGGUAACCUGCCCAUCGGAGGGGGAUAACAUCCGGAAACGGAUGCUAAAACCGCAUAGGUCUUCGAGCCGCAUGGCUUGAAGAGGAAAAGAGGCGCAAGCUUCUGCUGAUGGAUGGACCCGCGGUGCAUUAGCUAGUUGGUGAGGUAACGGCUCACCAAGGCCGUGAUGCAUAGCCGACCUGAGAGGGUGAUCGGCCACAUUGGGACUGAGACACGGCCCAAACUCCUACGGGAGGCAGCAGUAGGGAAUCUUCCGCAAUGGACGCAAGUCUGACGGAGCAACGCCGCGUGAGUGAAGAAGGUUUUCGGAUCGUAAAACUCUGUUGUUAGAGAAGAACAAGUGCUAGAGUAACUGUUAGCGCCUUGACGGUAUCUAACCAGAAAGCCACGGCUAACUACGUG